rnacentral:rRNA from 1 species
CGAGCACGCGCGUGUGGCAUAUCAAUAAGCGGAGGAAAAGAAACUAACAAGGAUUCCCUAGUAACGGCGAGUGAAGCGGGAAGAGCUCAAAUUUGAAAUCUUCAAGGUUUCCCUUGACGAAUUGUAGUUUAUAGAAGUGUUUUCUGUUAGGAGAGGUGGUAAAAGUUCUUUGGAAUAGGACAUCAUAGAGGGUGAGAAUCCCGUAUUUGGUCAUUCCUCCUAGCGUUGUGAUACACUUUCAACGAGUCGGAUUGUUUGGGGAAUGCAGUCCAAAAUGGGUGGUAAAUUUCAUCUAAAGCUAAAUAUUGGCGAGAGACCGAUAGCGAACAAGUACCGUGAGGGAAAGAUGAAAAGGACUUUGAAAAGAGAGUUAAACAGUACGUGAAAUUGUCAAAAGGGAAGCGUUUGACACCAGUGUUGUUUUCCGAAAAUCAAUUACGAAUGUUUUGUUUUUGAGGAGUUAUGACUUCAUCGGCUUGCUCCUUUCUUUAUGAAACUUUCUUAAUGCACUUUUCGGUUAACAAGUCAACAUCAAUUUCUUUUGUUGUAAAAGGGUAUGAGGAAGGUGGCUUUCUUUUCGGAGAAAGUGUUUAUAGCCUUGUACCUCUGCAAUCGGAGAGAUUGAGGUCUGCAGCGUAGAUCCUUCGGGGUUAGAUACAUUUGUGCUAAGUUAUAGCUUUUCAUAGACAACUUGUUGACUAUGUUUAGUCUUGUAGCUUACUCGCAUACGCUAUUUUACCUACGCUUAGGAUGUUGAUGUGAUACUGCGAGC